rnacentral:lncRNA from 1 species
UGUUUGAGUUAGGCAUCUUCAGUCACGGUAAAACAGUGUACUGCGAUACCUCGCAUUACUUCUCAGUUACAAUCCUAUCACCUAAGUCGGAUGUUUUGUCCUGAAGACCCUCUGAGCACCAUCAAUUGGUUUAAAUAGAUAUCUGUCUUUUCUUCUGUUCGAAACAACAUCCACUGUGAAAAUCUUAUUAUUUAAGAACAUUUUGACAGUGAAGGUAUGGGAGUUCUUGCGUAUGACUUUAUACACAAAUCUCCUUUGACCAAGGUUAUGGUUGUCUUCCAGUCAAUCUCAAAUUACAAGGCCAACUUUCUCAUGGAGAUCGUAAGGUCGUUCAAGUAAAUCCGGACUACCUUUAACUGUGUCCUGAUCAAUAAAGGAAGCAAGUAAAGCCUCUCAUUCCCUCGAUACAGGUCUAAAGGAUUUGCAGGUCUUUACCCCGUCCGCGGGGAAAACAUUGUACUAGUACUUGAUGAUGGAGGCCUUCAAGGAGUCGAUGCUGUUGUGUGAAUUGGAAGAUACUUUCUACUCUAACUCCUACUGCAAAAAGUAAUUCAUAGGAUUCAUAAAUGUGGUGUUUUAGGGCCCGGUGUGGGGGUGUCAAAAUUACACCUUCUCUUCUUUGAACAAUUUUGGGGUCUUAUAUGUCUUGAGAGAGGGAGCUGAGUCUUUUUGAAAGAUAAACUUGAGUCCAUUGUCCUCAGCUUUCACCCAAGGUAUCACUUGGUCAGACAGAAGUUCACAGUACAGGUCGGCAUCUACCCUCUCUAGACCUAAUCAAAAAAACAUUUUUUUAAUUUUUGUUAGGUUUUUCCUAUUUUUUCCCAUACUUUGACAUGUGAGAAGAAAGAAAAUUAUUUUUGGGGGGGGUUCUGAAUACACCCUAAAUCCUCGCACUUUUUGCUUCAAUUUUUGAAAGUUGGCGUUUUUUUCGAAAAAUAGUACUUCUUCAUCAAUGAUCUCUUUUGGAUCAAAGAAGAGGGGGGAAUUAACUGCCGUUGUUCCCAAUUGCCUUAAAGGUAAUGAUGCUGGCUGGAAACUUGGUUUUAAAGACGUGGGGGGCAUUUUCUCCCUCUGUGGCCAACCAUUUGUCGUUCUGGGUGUUGUGGGGAUGUUAACACACCCACGAUUUCUCAAAUAAUUAAGAAGAAAGAACAGACGUAUCAACUGUUUUUUCUUUUCCUUUCUAAUUCGUGAAUUAGUUUUUAUUUACAUGAUUCCGUCUUUGUGUAAGCUGAUACAGCAUUUCGAUAUGAGGCCUAAAGAAUUUGCAGCCCUUGAUCGCGUCUGCGGAGGAGAUUGUCUUAGUACUUGAUGAUGGAGGUCUUCAAUGAAGCGAUGCUGUUGUGGAAAUUGGCAGACACCUUCACAAUAUACCUAAGUAUUUCAUUCCCAAAGAAAGAGUCCACUCUACUUCCUUAUGAGGUCUGGUAGUUUUCCCUCGGAUGAAAUCUCCUCCCGUUGUCCCUCGUGGAAUCUGGAAUCCGAAUUCGAACAUCUACUGAGAUGGAUGAUCAAGUUAGAAGUAUCUUCCUUUGAUUGCACCUUUGUUCCUUUUACGGAGCAGGACGUAAAUAGUAUGAUGAUAAUGUUGACUAUUGGCUAGUACAACUCCAUAAAAAAUGGAAUCACAUAAAAAUACAAAAUGGAAAAAGAAUUAUUGGAGUUGCAUAUUUUUAAAAUUGUAUUUUAAAUUUGAUAAUUGUAAAUAGAGAAACACACAUUACUAUGUUAAUUGUGUAGGUGGAUAUGUAAAUAAUAAAAAUGAUAUUUAUUAAUAUUAUAAUAUACCACAA